rnacentral:lncRNA from 1 species
CUGCCUCCCUGAGAUGUGUACAGAGCCUAUCAAGGUACUUUUGGAGGAGGCCAGUGGAGUAUGGAUUUUACCAAUGUCCAACGGUAAGAAAGCCACAUCUUCCCCAUGGUGUCAGUGAAGAUCAGGAGCUCAGCCCACCUCUUGGGAGUCCUUCAUUAUCCCCCUGUCUGGGCAGAACCCCUCUUCCCUUCACCAACCUCCACGAUGUACCCCAGCCCUAGACGAUCAAUACUCCUAUUUCCCCCACUCUCGGAAGAAGAAACUGAGGCACAGAUGACUGACUGAGACAUGAUUGGAGGAAAUGAGGAGAUCAGCCCAGUUGGAAUGGAAGACUUGUAUGUGGCAGGGGUGUUACUCUGAAAGCGUUUCCCAGUCAACUUCCUGCAGCAAAUCUCUGUCUCGAAGUCUGCUUCCCAUGGGCGUGACCUAUGACACUAACAAGUAUUUGACACUUUCAUAUUUUUUCUACUUGAAAUACAAAUCUCAUGUUCCCCUAAUCACUGGUGGCAUUGCUGAGACUAUUAUCUCAGCUCAGAGGCAUGAAACAGCACAGUUUUAUUUGCAAAUUGGUAGCUUGGAUAGACGAGGUCAGCCUGUGAGGGCCCGCGGUCAAGAAUGUGACCGGACAGGAGGCGGCUGGCAUAUACUGAAUAAGGUGGAUCAAAGGCCUAGUUCAACUGUCAGGGAGGCACAGGCAAGCAAUAUAGUCUGUGUCAGCUGGGGUCACACUGUGGAAAAUAUCUAAAUCAGGCUUUUGGAACCCAGUCCAGAAGACCGGUAGUCAGAAAAUUAAGAACCAAAGGGGCUGGUCAUCAGAUUUCCUGUGUGAAGAUACUGAGGUUGGCAUGCAAAAGGCAAUUAAUAAAUGCAAGCUCCCUAUUCCUGUUCCCACGUGGAUAUCUCAGAAACUCCCCAAUGCUUGGGAAUCUUCUCCAGAGCACAAUUUCCUCAAAGCAGCAGGAAAAAGUACUUUCUGUUUGUGGGUACUUUAGAGCAAAUAAAGCUAUUACAGAGGAUAAAAG